rnacentral:lncRNA from 1 species
CAGCUCUGGACCUGGAGCUCAUUGAUUACUUCACGAUCGGAGCCUAGUUGGCGUCUGUCUGUUGGGCUGGACCAGUGAGGGGGGCAGAUGUGCAACUCGAGGAUCAGAGAGAGAAGAGGUAGGACAGGAGGGAUCCUGAACUGUACAUCACAGAUAACAUCAUAGACUCAGAGGGAUCACCUCUUCUGGUGCUGGAGGUCACCAGGGCUACAAAGCUUAGUUCUCGCACCUUGGUCCACCACACCUGAUUCAACUCAAGAACUGGGUGGUAACAAGGACAGCGGCUGCAUCAGUUUCACCAUCACUUGGGAUGACAGGAGUGUGGCCAAGUCUGGGGCGAUUGCGGUGACCACAGCAGCCUUUUCCCAUCAUCCCCAUCUCACCCAAGCCAACCCGACCUCACCCACACAAACACAUCAACA